GACGGAGGUCCCAAGCGUUGUUCGGAAUCACUGGGCUUAAAGCGCGUGUAGGCGGAGCGGUAAGUACCUUGUGAAAUCCCCGGUCUCAACCCGGGAAUGGCUGGGUAUACUGUCGUUCUUGAGGCAGGCAGGGGUCACUGGAACCUUAGGUGGAGCGGUGAAAUGCGUAGAUAUCUAAGGGAACGCCGGUGGCGAAAGCGGGUGACUGGGCCUGUCCUGACGCUAAGACGCGAAAGCGUAGGGAGCAAACGGG
rnacentral:rRNA from 1 species